UCAGCAGCUAAUUGUUGGGCAUAUCUAU
rnacentral:sRNA from 1 species